GCGGGUGUGGUGAAAUGGUAGACACGCCACUUUGAGGGGGUGGUGGGCGAUGGCCCGUGGGAGUUCGACUCUCCCCACCCGCACCA
rnacentral:tRNA from 1 species